CAGUAGCCGCGGUAAUACGGAGGGUGCAAGCGUUAAUCGGAAUUACUGGGCGUAAAGCGCACGCAGGCGGUCUGACAAGUCAGAUGUGAAAUCCCCGGGCUUAACCUGGGAACUGCAUUUGAAACUGGCAGGCUAGAGUCUUGUAGAGGGGGGUAGAAUUCCAGGUGUAGCGGUGAAAUGCGUAGAGAUCUGGAGGAAUACCGGUGGCGAAGGCGGCCCCCUGGACAAAGACUGACGCUCAGGUGCGAAAGCGUGGGGAGCAAACAGGAUUAGAUACCCGGGUAGUCCCUGUCUCUUAUAA
rnacentral:rRNA from 1 species